GGUUUUUUACAAUUUCAUGAUCUUUUUAUUUAUUUAUGAGAGAUGUAUUGGUUGAUUGUAAUAAUAUUUACACAAGGUCAUAUUUAUUUAUUUAAUUAUGAACAAUUCGGGGGUCCAUACAGGAUGGCUUGUCCGUUCAGCACUGGCUAACUGGAGUCUGAAGAAAUGAAGCGCUUUCUGCUGUCAAGCUGUUGGAAUGGAUUUGGGCUUUUAAUGAAUCAAAUCAUUUGCCUUUAAUCUGUGUAAUAUGGUGACGCUAAAGUUAAUGUUUGCAGUGUUGCAGUCAUAAACAGUCUGCCGUCAUGGUGAAUGCGCAGACAGACCGGGGAAUCCGAGCAGACAGACAGACAGGCAGGCAGACAGACAGACAGGUCGCUCCAGAGGUGACCGGGGAAGCCUGCUCGCUCUCUGCCGCCAGACACUGCCUCCUCCUCGGCCACCGCUCCUCCCCUCCCUCUGCCUUGGUUGCGCAUUGGGGGAUCCGACGACGUCACACAAGCGCGCGCACACAAACACUUUAUCGCGCGCCUACGCACACGGACGCGCACACACACGCCCCUGUCUUGCGCUCUCACUCCUCUCUGUGCUGCUAUUCUGGGAAGUGGCGCUUGGAAUAACCCCCUCGCGCGGACGCGUGUACGUGUCUCCUGAUUUCACCCUGGUACACGCUCACAACACAGGCAGACGCGCGCAUUUACUUUCGGUCUGCCUGCAGAGAAGGAGCGGAUCUCCUGCUUUACGCGCAACUUUCUUUCCGCCGAUCGGUCGCGUCUUCGCGCCGGUAACUCCUUUUCCUCGACCGCUGUGGAUUUCUACCAACCGAGCCUGCCGGGCUGCCUGUUGGGCUGCCUGUCGGGGUCCAGCCCGUCCAGGAUCGGCUUCUGUCACCGCUGCGGCUUGUUGUCAUCUCGGAAACGCGCAGCCGGAGCGCAGACUGAAGGACAUUCUGAUGAAGUGGAGCGAAGGACAAAGCGUCACAGGUGAACUCCUCACAAACCUGACUGUGUGCCUGCAUGUGGGGGCAGAGGCGUGUGCCAACAUGCAACGACAACACUUAGAUAUAUACAGUACAGUAAGCAGUGUUUUCAGGGGUCUGUGGUAGACUAAUGACCGAGCAAACAGAUCCAGGUUUGGUAUGUUUUGUUUGCAGUAUGAUGUAGGGUUUUGGUGGAAUACUUAAAUAAUAUCAGGUUGAUGGAGAAAAAUCACUUUCAGAGCCUCUUGGAAUAAUAAACCUUUCUCAGGAUUUAAAAUGGCUGAUUCCUUUGUCAUGAGAAAGAAAGAGACUCAUGCUGGGAGACAGGCAGCCAGAAUUACUCUCACUGUUUUAUCCCUGCUGGUUGCUGAGGCAACCAGCCAGCUUUGUUACCAGAGGUGUGACCUCGGCAGGGGGUGUAAAUGACAAAGCUACCAUCAAGAAAAGUUUCUCAGAAUGUCUUUUUAAGCAUUUCUAAGUCUGAUUGUGGUUAAAAUCAGAACACUUGGAUAAAAUAAAGAUAAAUAAACAUGCACAGAGAGAUUCACAGAAACUGAACUCAAUCAUGAAUCACUCAAUUGUUUUAUUUCUGAUUUAUUGUAAUGUCAGAGUUGAAGAUGAAUAUGGCCUUGUUUUUUUGUAAAGACUUUAUUAAAAAAGAACAUUUAAAAAUGAGUUUAACAGAGUAUCAGAAGAGACAAUGUUCUUUGCUUCUUCAGGUCUUCCUGAACUGAGGAAGCAGAGGAUGGAUGUUAAAGUAGUUGCUGUUUUGAAACUUCAGUCUGUGUUUCCACAGAAAAAAAGGAGAAACUCAGAAAUGAAAGAGCGGAUGCUGCGACAAAAAUUCCAUCCUAAAUAAAGUCAUAUUUCCACUUGUUCCGUUGACAGAUUUCAAAGGCCUUUUUAAAUGUUUUUGUCUAAAAACAAGUUGCUACUUUAUUCAUUUUGUCAUACACCCAAACAGACACACAUUCCCAGGGGCAGCUUUUAAUGCAUGCUUUGCAAGCACUGAUGCUCAUCCUGUGUAUACUCUGGUGUGUGUUUGUGUGCGUCUAACAGUGUGUAGAGAAAUGCUACGGUGCAAAGUCUCAAGCCAACAUACACAGGCUCUAAGGUACAGAUGCUAAUCUCUGCUUUACAUGAUCUAUUUCUGUGCUCAUCCGGAAACAACCCCGCAAAUGCAGACUCAAUGGUAACAAUGCAGACACUCACAAAGACACACACACACAAACAGAAAUAGGAAUACACAGGUGCAGAUACAGAAAAUGCACGACUGGAACUUGAACCAGGAAUUUUUUUCCUUUAAGGGAACAGUGCUGUUCUGUAGACAGGAAACUCAUCACAACGUAACGUCACAAUAACAUCAGUGACGCAACCUCUGAACUUCUAGCAGCUCCACAAUUAUCUCUGAUGUUGUGAUGAGGAGAAACAUCCACUCUGUUGAAAUCCUGAUGGGUUUAGGUGAUGUGAGACUACAGCUUGUUGAUCAACAUUUGGAAACACGUAAGCUGUUUUCUGACACCUUUAGCAUUUUCAUCUUUUUGUUUUAUGUUCACAAUAACAGAUGCAGAUUUUUCAUCACAUUUGAACAUUUUUUAGUAAAACCUGGCUCUGCCUCCGGACAAAGCACACAGUCUUCCCCCCCUUCAAUAUGAUUCUAUGAAUUUCUGGAGGCAAGAGGUCAGGUGUGUCUUAAGUGUGUCUCAAUUUGUCUUAAGUGAGUUUUAAGUGUGUCUCAGGCGUGUCUUGGGUUUUUCUCUAAUGUGUCUCAUAUUUUUGAGUUCAGUUGUGUUUUAAGUUGGGUGUGUCUCAGUUUUCUUAAGUGCACUCAGGUGUGUCUUGACUGUCUCUCAGAAAUGUGCUAGUGUAACCGGUCGCUUUCUGCGUUGUGCUGGUUAAUAAUUUGGCGUGACACAGUGUUACCUCCUGGAGAGAAGCCUCCUUUUAUUUCUGGAAAUAAACAAACAGAAAACAAUACACUGUAUGAUCCCGCCCACUCCAGUUCCUAUAUAAACAAAAUUCAAGUCAUCCACCAACACCUUAGCUCUUCUCUCCUCCCUCCCAUCCCUGACUCUUUUCCCCUCAAUCACAUAUUUUCCUCCUUUCAAUUGCUUGACUACAAGGAAAUUUCCUCCCUCAUCCUAAAAUCCAAACCCACCACCUGUUAUCUUGAUCCCCUCCCAACAUCUUUAGUUAUAGCCUGCCUCCCAUCUCUCCUUCCGCUUAUUGCUGCCAUUAUUCACUCCUCACUCUCAUCUGGUACUGUACCAUCACUUUUUAAAACGGCUGCUGUUAAACCCAUCCUGAAAAAACCCGGUUCAGAUCCCAACAUAUUCAGUAAUCUCCGUCCAAUUUCCAACCUUCCCUUCAUUUCAAAAAUUCUUGAGAAAAAAGUCG
ensembl:lncRNA